rnacentral:rRNA from 1 species
UGGGGAAUCUUGGACAAUGGGGGCAACCCUGAUCCAGCCAUGCCGCGUGAGUGAUGAAGGCCUUAGGGUCGUAAAGCUCUUUCGCCUGUGAAGAUAAUGACGGUAGCAGGUAAAGAAACCCCGGCUAACUCCGUGCCAGCAGCCGCGGUAAUACGGAGGGGGUUAGCGUUGUUCGGAAUUACUGGGCGUAAAGCGCACGUAGGCGGACCAGAAAGUUGGGGGUGAAAUCCCGGGGGCUCAACCCCGGAACUGCCUCCAAAACUAUUGGUCUAGAGUUCGAGAGAGGUGAGUGGAAUUCCAAGUGUAGAGGUGAAAUUCGUAGAUAUUUGGAGGAACACCAGUGGCGAAGGCGGCUCACUGGCUCGAUACUGACGCUGAGGUGCGAAAGUGUGGGGAGCAAACAGGAUUAGAUACCCUGGUAGUCCACACCGUAAAACGAUGAAUGCCAGUCGUCGGGGUAGCAUGCUAUUCGGUGACACACCUAACGGAUUAAGCAUUCCGGCCUGGGGAGUACGGUCGCAAGAUUAAAA